GAUGAGCAUGCGUCCCAUUAGCUUGUUGGUAAGGUAACGGCUUACCAAGGCAACGAUGGGUAGGGGUCCUGAGAGGGAGAUCCCCCACACUGGUACUGAGACACGGACCAGACUCCUACGGGAGGCAGCAGUGAGGAAUAUUGGUCAAUGGGCGCAAGCCUGAACCAGCCAUGCCGCGUGCAGGAUGACGGUCCUAUGGAUUGUAAACUGCUUUUGUACAGGAAGAAACAUCUCUACGUGUAGAGACUUGACGGUACUGUAAGAAUAAGGAUCGGCUAACUCCGUGCCAGCAGCCGCGGUAAUACGGAGGAUCCAAGCGUUAUCCGGAAUCAUUGGGUUUAAAGGGUUCGUAGGCGGUUUUGUAAGUCAGUGGUGAAAGCCCAUCGCUCAACGGUGGAACGGCCAUUGAUACUGCAAGACUUGAAUUAUUAGGAAGUAACUAGAAUAUGUAGUGUAGCGGUGAAAUGCUUAGAGAUUACAUGGAAUACCAAUUGCGAAGGCAGGUUACUACUAAUUGAUU
rnacentral:rRNA from 1 species